rnacentral:tRNA from 1 species
GCUGCGAUGGCCGAGUGGUUAAGGCGUUUGACUAGAAAUCAAAUGGGAUCUUCCCGCGUAGGUUCGAAUCCUACUCGCAGCGUA